AUUCUAGUCUUGGCUUUCGAUCAUUAAGAUCCAUCUUCAUUCGCCAUCUUCAUGAUCAUGCCCUCCAUGCUUCGUGUCAUUUUCCUUCAAGGCCAAGCUAUUUCCUCUUCCAUGGAAUUACCUACGAAACCAAGAAAACCAUAUUUUAAGAUCCACGUUCAUUCCAAGUCAUGGCAUAUGCAUCAAUUCGAAAACAUUCCAAAAUUACCUACGAAACCAAGAAAACCAUAUUUUAAGAUCCACGUUCAUUCCAAGUCAUGGCAUAUGCAUCAAUUCGAAAACAUUCC
rnacentral:lncRNA from 1 species